UUACAUGAGAUAAGACCUGCCUGGCGU
rnacentral:piRNA from 1 species